UUUUGUGGACUAAAUUUAACGGUAAUGUCUGCCGAAACAACCGGCAGCUCUUGGUGCUCUGUACCCAGCUCAAAGUCACCUAUUUUAGGGUAACUGAACCACCAACUACCGCUGAUACAGAUGAAGGAGCAGCACAAAGCA